GAGGAGACAGUGGUUCAGGGGUGCAUGUACACGCCGGACCGCCUCUGUCUUUUUAAGAGACGGGCUCUCAUCUAUGAUAUUCGGUUUCUUCUCUUAUGCACUGCACACAUUAGUUUGGUGGAUUUAUCAUCCAGCUUUGUUCUCGGCUCACUGCAUUCGACACCAGCAGUGAUUGUUGAUUCAUCUUUAUUUAUCACUGAUGGUCAUGGUCAAGAAGAAAGUGGCCCACACACAAGAAACUCACCAUCAGACAGAAAAGCCUUUGGUCCGCUGUGCUAAAUGUGGAGAGGUGUGCAAAGGAGAAGUGUUACGAGUGCAGGCCAAACACUUUCACAUCAAGUGCUUUACAUGCAAAGCAUGCGGCUGCGAUCUGGCUCAGGGAGGAUUUUUCAUGAAGAAUGGAGAAUACCUGUGCACGCUGGACUACCAGCGCAUCCACGGCACCCGCUGUAACAUCUGCGGAGAGUUCGUGGAGGGGGAGGUGGUGACGGCGCUCGGAAAGACCUACCACCCAUCGUGCUUUGUGUGCACGAUCUGCAAGAGGCCGUUUCCUGCUGGUGAUAGAGUGACAUUCAAUGGCAAGGACUGUUUGUGCCAGUAUUGUGCUGAGCCCAUGUCUCCAGGUCCCACCAAAGAAAUCACAGGACCCAGCAGUUGUGCGGGCUGUGGCAGGGAUAUUAAGAACGGUCAGGCUCUGUUGGCUCUGGAGCGUCAAUGGCACUUGGGCUGUUUUAAAUGUAAAGCUUGUGCCAAAGUACUGACUGGAGAGUACAUCAGCAAGGAUGGCGCCCCCUACUGUGAGAGAGAUUAUCAAGUUCUGUUCGGGGUGCAGUGUGAAGCCUGUCAGCAGUUCAUCACUGGGAAAGUUUUGGAGGCAGGAGACAAGCACUAUCAUCCCAGCUGUGCUCGCUGCAGCAGAUGUAAUCAGAUGUUUACAGAGGGAGAAGAGAUGUAUGUGCAAGGAUCGACAGUUUGGCAUCCAAGCUGUAAACAGUCACCUAGAGCGGAGGACAGACCGAGGCUGUUGCCUGCGUCUUUAGCUCUCGUCAGCAAAACAGAAAGGCAGCCGACACGCUCAUCGUCUGAGAGUAUAUGUUCCCGACCUGGUUCAAGCAUACCUGGCUCACCGGGUCACACUUUAUAUGCAAAAGUAGACAAUGAGAUCCUUGAUUACAGAGAUUUAGCAGCCAUUCCCAAAGUCAAAGCCAUUUAUGACAUUGAGCGUCCAGAUCUAAUCAACUAUGAGCCUCUUUAUACCACAUCACUGGAUGAGUCGGAGGAGAUGGAGAGUGUGGGAGAGCUUCAGAGCUCCAGGAGAGAAUGUUCACCCAAGCCAGAUGACAGAACCAGGUCACCUACACCGACUGAUGGUUAUUAUGAUAUGAGAGAACGCAUUCUCCAUAGGUCUACAAGUCAGGGCUCCAUCGGCUCACCCAUUUACAGCCGCUACAAUUACACACCGGCCCUGUCCCGCUCACCACAACACUUCCACAGACCUGGCACUGAGCCGUCCAGCGGUCGGAGUUCUCCAGGUGCCAGCACCCCUCCUCUCUCUCUGACCCCUAAACAUUUUCACCUGCCAGAUCAAGGGAUAAACAUCUAUAGAAAACCACCGAUCUACAAACAAUAUGAUUCAGCUGCUUUUGCAGCCCAGAGCAAGUCGGCUGAUGACAUCAUCAAAUCGGCCAAAUUCCCCUCAGCGUACGCCCCGGGUCCAGACAACCCAGCAAAGACAGAGACCGACAACUGGUCCUUCCCCAUCUCUCACGCUGUCUUAGGGACAGACGGGAGGAGAAGAUCGAGAGAAGAAGAUGAGUUGGAGCAGCACAAACGCAGACAGCUUCAGGAGGAACAUCUCAACAAAAUCCAGUCUGGUUUAGGGAAAAUGAUUCUCAAGGAGGAGAAGGAGAAAGAGAUGACCCGCGAGCAUCACCCACGGAGCCAGUCAGCACAGCGCCACGACCCUGAUCAAUCUAAUGCUAAUGCAGAUUCACCCUCUAAAACGGGCUCAUUGCCUGGAUAUGGACGAAAUGGACUGCAUCGGCCUCAGUCGACUGACUUCACUCAGUAUAACAGUUACGGGGAUGUUUGUGGUGGAGUGAGAGGUCAGUCUAUCUAUUUGUUGUAAUGUUUUCUACAGUAAUUGACCUAAAUCAUAAGAAAGUUUAUAAUGAUAGCAGAUUGCAAUCAAAUGUAGGUCUACACUCUCAGAAUACAUGCAACUUGGGCAGCACCCUUUUUUAAAGGUCCUAAUAUUGUAUGUACCAUUUAGGUACAGAUACUGUAUGUAUACAUUUGGUAUCAAUAUGUACCACUAAGGCACUCUUUAUAGGUGCAAAUGUGUGCAUGUGACAGCUUUUGUAUCUUUAUUUCUGUGAGUGUAUGAAGACAGAUAUUAUGGAUGUAAUGGAGAUGUAUAUGAAGUUUGUGAAGGAUUUUUCACAUUUUAAUAAAAACUCUUUUUUUUUUUUUUUUUUUUUUGCAGAAUUUCAGGUAUGUAGUACACAUAACUUCCUCUUUGAAUUAACAAAUCCAAAUACUAUGAUGCAUGCAUGCGGUACUGAAUUCUUCCUGAAAUCUUAUUUGUAAAUGAUUUUAUAAUGGUGACCCAUUAGUCUAAAGUGCAUCCUUAUACUAAUACGUAAUUUUCUUUGAGAAUUUUUUUAUUUAUUUCUGACAUGACGUGUUUUGUUUCUAGUAUGUGCAGGAUUAUCAUCGUUCAACCACCAGAAUGGAUAGAGGAGUGUCGAUGCCUAAUAUGCUGGAACCAAAAGCAAAUAUAUCCGUACGAAAUGCUAAUGAUAACCAGUCGAAGUCGCUCGAAGCUGCCCAGAGAUGUUGACAGAACUCGACUAGAGCGCCAUCUGGCUCCAGAGAUGUUCUUUGAAAUCUUUGGGAUGGAAAUUCAGGAAUUCGACCGCUUACCUCUUUGGAAACGUAAUGAACUGAAGAAGAAAGCCAAACUCUUUUAAGCAGGAUAUAAUGCGUCUUCAUGCAUUUACAUUAUGUAUCAUCUAUGUUUUAAUCUCUCUUGUUCGCUCUCUAUGGACGUCAAAGCUAUAAUCCAAAACUAUAGCCGCAAAAAAAGUCAGUGCAGAAAUAUCAUCAUAGGAUAUGAGUUUGUUUUGAUUGAAGGGUCUUAAAGGUGCAGUGUGUAAUUUUUAGAAGGAUCUCUUGACAGAAAUGCAAAAUAAUACACAAAACUAUAUAAUUAGGGGUGUAUAAAGACCUUUUUAUAAUGAACCGUUAUGUGUUUAUUGCCUUAGAAUGAGACGUUUUUAUCUACAUACACAGAGGGUCCCCUUACAUGGAAGCCGCCAUUUUGAGCAGCCAUGUUUCAAGCCCUUAACAGACAAAAUUUUUUACUAAGUUGUCUCCAACAAUGACAUGUUUGUCCGGCGGCGGCUACCGUAGCUUAUCUAUGUGUUUCAAAAGCAAGAGGUGAGCUGUGGACUGAGCCGUUGGUUGCAAUUCACAACCUCACCACUAGAUGCCGCUAAAAUUUACACACUGCAUCUUUAACAUUUACUCAAUAGUUUUGUCUCUUUCAUUUCCCUGAUCCAAAAAUAAGUCUUCCUCAUGUUCUUUGUUCUUGUAGGAUAUCUUAGUAAAUUUUGCUCAUGCAGGUAAGAAUGUUGUCUUAUAAUCUGAAUCAUUGUAAGUUACACUGUCAGAAAAAAAAAUGGUCAGAAAUGAUCCCUAGCUAUCACUGGGGCCGUUCCCCCUUCAAAAUGUACACCUUUUUACUUAAAGAGUUCAUAUUAGGACCUCAAAGGUACAUAUUGGGAUGUAUUCAUAUCUGUACCUAAACGUGGAAUGAUAUAGCAUUGUUUGAAACUAUGUUCAUGUAACAUAAAAGCUAGAGGGGCAGAUUCAAAUCUGCCCAUAUGGCUCUCUAUUAGGGCUCGCUGCAUUUCCAUUUAUUACCCACAAAUUUAAAUGGGAAAAAAUGUGGGGCGCUGUUGAGCUUGAUCACCAUACAAACAGUAGCCAACCGAGCUGUGCGCUCAACUUCCAAACAUAUUCAUCUCAUUUUACGUAGUCAAUAAACUUUCAAAUAUUUUUGAAAAAUAUAAGACACAUUUACGAGUUUAUAAGAGUUCUAUAUUUUUAAGCGGAUUAAUAUUUUGGUGGGGCACCUGCCCCACUUGCCCAUAAAGAUGAACUGCGCCUGUAUUAGGACCUGUUUUUUUAAAGGGUUCUGCCCCAGUGACAACUUGGGACCAUUUUGUGUAGUCUGUUUAGUGUCCCACUACAAAAUUUAGUUUUCUUCACUUUUCGUUCAGGAAAGGAUUGUAGAUGCUACGCUGUGUGCCUGUGUCUCUUUGUACCCGUUCAUGUAAAAGUUUCAUAUGCUUUUUAACUUAAUCCAUAUUGCCACUAAUCCAUAUAUUUACACUGUACUACUGUACCAGCCUCUGGAUUUAUUAAAGAAAUAGUUUACACUGAAAUGAUAAUUCUCAUUGUUUACUUCCCUCAAAUUAUUUUUAAGAUGAACCUUAAGGGGUGGUUCCUGGACAGGGCUUAAGCCUAGUCUAAAACUAAAAUACUUGUUUGUAGCGAAAUUAACUUGCACUUACAUAUCUCAAAAUAUAUCCGUGCCAUUGUUUUGUCUCAAGAUGCACACCAGUAAUGUUUUUAAGGUAUGUUUGUCCUAAUAUAAAUAGGCCUAGUCCAGGUUUAAUCUAGGAAACCGCCCCUAAGUGUUUUAGGAUGAAUAAACACCAUAUGGGCUUGAAAGGACAUGAGGGAGAGUAAACAAUGACAGGAGUUAUAUUUUGGGGGGAACAGUGCACUGUGUUGUUUGUACACCUCCAGUUGCAUUAUAUGAACCCACCGGAGGUGCAGAAGUUACACAAUUCAUCUGUUAGCUGUUUGAUUACUGCUGAUCUUCUGUCUUAUAUAUAUUUAAAUGACACAAUACAAAGUUAAGGUAAAAAAUGAACUGCAUUUGACUUUAAAGGGUUUAAACUCGCACUGCCAACUGUUUUUCUGAAUAACAGGAAAUAUUUUAACUUGGAAAAACCAAAAGUUAUAGUUCCCAGCAGUUAUAAAAGAUAUCUACAUUAAUCAAAUCUGACAGAUUACUGUAUUGUGUUCAGUUGUUCAUGCGCAGUUCAUUGGAAUUACGGGCAUUGAAUUUUUAGCAGGACCAAAUCAAAACAGAAACUCGGAUGGAAACAUUCCCAUUAAACACAAACAAGUAAAAUGACAGGUUUGAAUAAAAGAAAUACAUCCGCUUC